GUUUGUGUUAUCAUGGUUGCAUGGUUACUGGGAGGCUCACCCCUGCUGACCUUUGGAAGCUUCCCUUUUGUGUUUCCUAUUUCCAAGCAGAGAAGGGAGGUAUUUUUCAUACAGAAAUACAGAGGCCACGUUCAGUGUCCUCGUUAGACAAAUCACCCAGCAUUCGUUGCUUUGAAGUGGAAUCAGGCAGCCGCCCCUCAGUCCGGUGGCGCCUGUUGACACGUCAUGCUGUAACGCACACUCCACAGGAAGGAAGAUAAGGUGGCAUUUCAGAGAUGUUCAUACCAUAGGAUGCCCACUGCUUGGGAUGAGGGGCAGGGUGGCUGUCAGCACUCCCAUCUCAGGAGCUGUUUUUGGUAGCAGCCACGGGGAAAGCCAAAGAAGUCAAGCACUGAGGGAUGAAGACAAAGAACAAACAUUAUAAGGGACACAGAUUAUUAAAAGAAGCUUGGCCACACUACCUCCCCAUAAGCGACUGCCGUUUGUGUUAUCACAGUGCUGAAGGAGAGCUGGGAGUGAGCUGUCAGCGGAUGGGCCUGCUGAAGCGAAUCACGUUCUGCACUGCGUGCUCUGCAGCUCCCGAACAAAACGGGCUAAGCAGGAAACAAAAGCUGGGCUCUGACUCCUGCUGCACUGGCUCAAAGGCAGGACACGUGGCAGGACGGGCCCAGGGAAGGGCUGGGGCAGAGCCCCACAGGUGCCUUCACACCCCCGCGGUUCCGUGAUCGUGUGCCUGAGGUCGGAGCUCUCCUAUGCUGCACGUGUAUGGGAUGGGAUCGCCGCUCCUGGGCCUCGGGGGCUCAUGACUCGAAAUGUGAAUCUAAUUUUUUUCUUUAGGAAGAUUUGACUUCAAAUGCCAUUAAAUCACGCAGUUAUAGAA
rnacentral:lncRNA from 1 species